UAAGUGGUAAAUAAAAUGAUACAUAUCGACUGUGUGGAAUGUUACUAAAGCAGAGCUUAUAAUAGAAGCAUAUGUUUACCUGCUUAUUGGGGGAAAGAUAAAAAAUCAAAGCAAUGGCCUAAGUUUCCACCUUAAUAACCUGGAAAACAGGAGAACACUGAACCCCAAGUAAGGGGAAAGAAGAAAAUCAGAAACAUGAGAACAGAAACAACAAAUAUGGAAACAAGGACAAAAGUAAAUAAAGCCCAGUCUGAAUGUAAAAUAGAGCUGGGAAGUGGUCGCUGCAUUCUAACAACGAGUACAAAGCAGAACAGAGAAAAAGAUCAGCAGCUCUUCUCGGAUCCAUCAGACAAGCGAGUUUAGGGAAACUGGAGAGCAAAUAUUUGGAGGCAGAGAAUCGGAGCCUCACAGGAAGCGCCUUCUCAGGCACCUCCGCGGGAGCGAGACUGGACUGAAAUAGUGCGGCGAGUCCGCUGAGAAGUUGCUGGAGCCUCUGACUCAACUCGCCUGAAAGCUGAGAAGUCCCGAAGGACAGGAUCAUUCAGGAUCCCCACGCUUUCGCCAGGUUCAUUCACAGAGCCAGGCACUCCUCGGGGCCAGCUGCAGGUUGGAGACAUCAGCAGAGGGUGGCGAUGCAGACCAGCAUGGUAAUGCUGUUGCCUGUUCCAGUGGAGGAGAAGAUGGACUUGUGCAGCUGCCUGCUGAGUUCUGAGGCAGAGGAAGGUGGAGGAAAAUGACUGACUCCCAAAUAGGGCUGCUCAUUACCUCAGAGUGUCUCGGACCUACCCACCCAGCCGUGGGCCAUGACAGCCCUGGCAGGCUCAGGACCGUGGGCCAGCCACCCAGAUAAGACACACCUUGAAGGAGCAGAGUAGAAUUGCACUUCCUGCAGGGAGUGCUCAGCCAACAGGGACCUCUCACUCAAGGUCCAAUUUAGGCGGCUGAUAAAUCCUAGGGUGGACAGGAAAGGGACAGGACUGGGAGGACUGCACUAAUUGAGCCCUUCCCACUGGAAGGAAACACCAGGAAGGGAAAAGAAUGUUUCCACCCUAACAUCUUCUUUCAAGAACAAACUCAACUGCUCCUAUUUCCAAAAGACGGUUGACCCUGCAGGCAGAAUCGGUCUAUUUUUCCUCUGAGUUCCUUACAGUCACAGGGUCUUGGAGAGAACUUACCCUCUGCUCCUUGUAUCAUAGAUAUCUGUUAAUAUACCUAGUAUCCCUGAAUAAGCUGCAGGCUCAUGACGAAAUGGUCUUUCUCUGUGAUUUGUUUUACUUCAGUAACUAACAUUUUGCCUUUGGGGCACACUAAAAUCCUAAUGACAAAUAAAUGACUGGAAUGUGACUAAGGUUAAGCAAAACAGGCUGAUUUGCAUCUAUGACACAAGUGUAAGUUUCUUUCUCUGUGGCCCGGUGAAUUCACACUCAGUACAUGGGAUGCUGCUCCAGAGUCCUGGCCAAGUGCUGCUCCUAUAUCAAAACCUGAAUGAUACAAAAAGAGUUUGGAAUCUCACAAGGCCAAUUCACUGCAGAUCCUGAAAACACAGCUUCAGUAUUUCAGUCUAGCUCCUAGAUUUUUAAAACAACGAACUAAUUACUCAACAGCACGUCGAACAAUGUGAAUUGCUCAUGAUUUUUAAAGGAAAUCUGAAUAUUUUCUGUGCUUGAACAUCUCAUUUUAUCCAAUGUUGGCAACAAUGAAUUAUUGAUAUGGCUGAGCAAUUUCCAUUAAAAGACAAACUUUACAAAAAGCUUCUAAUUCAGAAGUCAGUUAUAGCUUUGGUAAUGUAAAUUCCAACUUUGAGAAAUACCAUUCACUUCACUGCAAUGAAAAUAUUGUGAGUUAAAAGAUUACAAGUAAUAUUUUUUCUUCCAAUUAGGGGAAGUUGGUUGUUGGAAGCAUGAAUUACCAGACAUCAUUUCAGAACAAAAUGAUAUAAGGAAAUAACCUAAUUGAAAUCUGUGACUUUAUUAUUCCACUUGGUAACGUAAUUUGGAAAAAGAAUUUUCAUGACUAUUGAGCAUAAAGGAGCUGUUUCUCGACCAGUCUGUGACUGUCGAUAGGAUUCACCCUUGAACUUCCUGGGAGCUUCUCAACACUUCCGCCACGUGUCUGCAGUUGCAUCCAGUCUGUGAUCUCUAUCCCUCUUCACACAUGAGGCCGUCGUCCCUCAAGGCAGCGACUAUCUGCUUCAACCAGCGCCGUUUCUGCAUGGUGUGGACACCUAAUAACUGACCUUCCUGGAACCAGUAAUGCUCCUGCGGUCUUCAUAUUCCUCAGAGUCUGCCCUGCUCAAUCACUGUAGGGGAAGAUAUUUGAAUAAUCAGCUCAUUCUUGGAGUGCAUUUAAAAAACUGUCACAGGCCAUUAAAAAUAUUCCACAUUGAGAAGAAAGUGACCUAAAGUUAGAGAAUCUAAUUUAAACAUGUUUUAAAAUUUUAAAUAUUUGUUAUUGUAGUUGAAGACAAAAAAUUUCUUCAAAUGCCAUAAGAUAUCCAAAAUUAAAUCAACCCUUGAAGAUAUGAUUUUAUCGAAUCAACAUAUUCAAUGUGAUGAAACAGGCAUUGAGUAGCCCCAGUGCUGAAGAAAGGCUGAUACUAAUGGUUCCCCAAAACAGUGGUAGACAAAGAAUUUCCACCAUUUAAAAGUGAGAGACCCCAAAGCUCAGAGGUCUUCGCAUAAACAUCCAGAAGCACCACUUAUCCUAUGCUUUCCCAGAGAUGGGUCACCUCCAUGACACAGGCAGACUUCAUGGGACAGUUGUCUCAUCUAUGGAAAAUGGAAAACAAAAACUCCACACACCAGUGCAAGGAUCUACUGUGGACCGAACGGUGCCCCCUAAACUCAGGCUGAAGCUCUGAGCUCGGAUGUGACUGCACUUGAGGACAGCACCUCUGAGGAGCUAACGAAGGUCACAGGAGCAUCACUCUGCAGCAUGGAUUCCUUCAAGAGUAUUUAGAGAAAUUGUGCCGGGCCCUGUGUGGGGCCCAAAGUCCUUCCUUGAUGAGCAAAGGAAGUGGAUCCCUGCCUUCACAGAAACUCUGUUACACAGGAAGGACAGAAUUAAACACACGAGAAUAUUGAUACAGGCGAUGUAAUGGGUGGUAGGUCAUACACCGAAACCAUGGAGAGACUACCUGGGGAGGAGAUGAUGGGCCCUGGGGCCAAGGAUAGCUGCUCAGGGCUGCUUACCCACAGAGGGCCAAGUGGGUGGGAUGGAGGCAGGUGAAUGGGGGGCUAGGCUGGGAGAGCAGAAAGGGCCCACACCUGCAAAUGGGCCAGGAGCCACAGCGGCCGGGCUUUUCGGAACAAAAUGGUGGUGCAUCAGGAGUGGGGGGCAGAGAGAGCCCUAGAUCCAGGUCGUGGGGUGCUGCAAAGGCAUGUGAGGGCUGGUUUCAUCUACACACAGUCAGCGUCUUGGGAGGGCUGAGAACAGGUGAUCCAGUGAUGGGAUCCAGGUGCAGCUGAGUACGUGACCUCAGCUUCACUGUGGCACAGGGCUCCAGAAAGAACCUGCGGGAAAAGUGGGCCAGUGGGGCUGCACCCCAGCCACCAGGCGUGGUACGGGGAAGACGGCGCCUCACCCCUGUGGUGAGGGAGAGAGCACCCCUGAGCCACCUGGGUGUGGGUGGAAAACUAGGCCUGGGAGGAGGGAAGGACACACACGAGGUCAGGCUGUACUUGGGGUAGAACUGGCAGGUGUGUUACAAAUGGUAAUAGGCAGCAGCUCUACCUCCUGCUUGGGAGGGAAGUGACAUGUACAGUAGGAAAUAACACAAAUCUAUUAAUAAAACGUCGUGCUAGACUAA